AAUAUUGCACAAGGGAGGAAACUCUGAUGCAGCGACGCCGCGUGAACGAUGAAGGCCUUCGGGUCGUAAAGUUCUGUCCUUGGGGACGAUAAUGACGGUCCCCAAGGAGGAAGCCCCGGCUAACUACGUGCCAGCAGCCGCGGUAAUACGUAGGGGGCGAGCGUUGUCCGGAAUUAUUGGGCGUAAAGGGUUCGUAGGCGGUCUUUUAAGUCAGAUGUGAAAGGUCACGGCUCAACCGUGGUAAGCAUUUGAAACUGAAAGACUUGAGUUAAGGAGAGGAAAGUGGAAUUCCUAGUGUAGCGGUGAAAUGCGUAGAUAUUAGGAGGAACACCAGUGGCGAAGGCGACUUUCUGGACUGUAACUGACGCUGAGGUACGAAAGCGUGGGUAGCGAAC
rnacentral:rRNA from 1 species